AUUGAACGCUGGCGGCAGGCCUAACACAUGCAAGUCGAGCGAGCGGCGGACGGGUGAGUAAUGUAUGGGGACUGCCCGAUAGAGGGGGAUAACUACUGGAAACGGUGGCUAAUACCGCAUACUAUCGGAUAACCCAUAUGGGAUUAGCUAGUAGGUGGGGUAAUGGCUCACCUAGGCGACGGUCUCUAGCUGGUCUGAGAGGAUGAUCAGCCACACUGGGACUGAGACACGGCCCAGACUCCUACGGAGGCAGCAGUGGGGAAUCUUGGGCAAUGGACGAAAGUCUGACAGAGCCACGCCGCGUGUGUGAAGAAGGUUUUCGGAUUGUAAAACACUGUUGUUGGGGAAGCGUUAUCUAACCAAAAAGCCACGGCUAACUACGUGCCAGCAGCCGCGGUAAUAC
rnacentral:rRNA from 1 species